CCGCUGCAAGUGAUGACUGAAACUUUUUUCCCCAGCAGAUCGAUAAUGGUGACCAGUCUGUUGCUUUAAGCCAAAUCGAGUCUGAUGCUAGCGG